rnacentral:rRNA from 1 species
AGAGUUUGAUCAUGGCUCAGAUUGAACGCUGGCGGCAGGCCUAACACAUGCAAGUCGAGCGGUAGCACAGAGAGCUUGCUCUCGGGUGACGAGCGGCGGACGGGUGAGUAAUGUCUGGGAAACUGCCUGAUGGAGGGGGAUAACUACUGGAAACGGUAGCUAAUACCGCAUAACGUCGCAAGACCAAAGUGGGGGACCUUCGGGCCUCAUGCCAUCAGAUGUGCCCAGAUGGGAUUAGCUAGUAGGUGGGGUAACGGCUCACCUAGGCGACGAUCCCUAGCUGGUCUGAGAGGAUGACCAGCCACACUGGAACUGAGACACGGUCCAGACUCCUACGGGAGGCAGCAGUGGGGAAUAUUGCACAAUGGGCGCAAGCCUGAUGCAGCCAUGCCGCGUGUGUGAAGAAGGCCUUCGGGUUGUAAAGCACUUUCAGCGGGGAGGAAGGCGGUGAGGUUAAUAACCUCACCGAUUGACGUUACCCGCAGAAGAAGCACCGGCUAACUCCGUGCCAGCAGCCGCGGUAAUACGGAGGGUGCAAGCGUUAAUCGGAAUUACUGGGCGUAAAGCGCACGCAGGCGGUCUGUCAAGUCGGAUGUGAAAUCCCCGGGCUCAACCUGGGAACUGCAUUCGAAACUGGCAGGCUAGAGUCUUGUAGAGGGGGGUAGAAUUCCAGGUGUAGCGGUGAAAUGCGUAGAGAUCUGGAGGAAUACCGGUGGCGAAGGCGGCCCCCUGGACAAAGACUGACGCUCAGGUGCGAAAGCGUGGGGAGCAAACAGGAUUAGAUACCCUGGUAGUCCACGCCGUAAACGAUGUCGAUUUGGAGGUUGUGCCCUUGAGGCGUGGCUUCCGGAGCUAACGCGUUAAAUCGACCGCCUGGGGAGUACGGCCGCAAGGUUAAAACUCAAAUGAAUUGACGGGGGCCCGCACAAGCGGUGGAGCAUGUGGUUUAAUUCGAUGCAACGCGAAGAACCUUACCUGGUCUUGACAUCCACAGAACUUUCCAGAGAUGGAUUGGUGCCUUCGGGAACUGUGAGACAGGUGCUGCAUGGCUGUCGUCAGCUCGUGUUGUGAAAUGUUGGGUUAAGUCCCGCAACGAGCGCAACCCUUAUCCUUUGUUGCCAGCGGUCCGGCCGGGAACUCAAAGGAGACUGCCAGUGAUAAACUGGAGGAAGGUGGGGAUGACGUCAAGUCAUCAUGGCCCUUACGACCAGGGCUACACACGUGCUACAAUGGCAUAUACAAAGAGAAGCGACCUCGCGAGAGCAAGCGGACCUCAUAAAGUAUGUCGUAGUCCGGAUUGGAGUCUGCAACUCGACUCCAUGAAGUCGGAAUCGCUAGUAAUCGUAGAUCAGAAUGCUACGGUGAAUACGUUCCCGGGCCUUGUACACACCGCCCGUCACACCAUGGGAGUGGGUUGCAAAAGAAGUAGGUAGCUUAACCUUCGGGAGGGCGCUUACCACUUUGUGAUUCAUGACUGGGGUGAAGUCGUAACAAGGUAACCGUAGGGGAACCUGCGGUUG